rnacentral:rRNA from 2 species
AAAUUGAAGAGUUUGAUCAUGGCUCAGAUUGAACGCUGGCGGCAGGCCUAACACAUGCAAGUCGAACGGUAACAGGAAGCAGCUUGCUGCUUCGCUGACGAGUGGCGGACGGGUGAGUAAUGUCUGGGAAACUGCCUGAUGGAGGGGGAUAACUACUGGAAACGGUAGCUAAUACCGCAUAACGUCGCAAGACCAAAGAGGGGGACCUUCGGGCCUCUUGCCAUCGGAUGUGCCCAGAUGGGAUUAGCUAGUAGGUGGGGUAACGGCUCACCUAGGCGACGAUCCCUAGCUGGUCUGAGAGGAUGACCAGCCACACUGGAACUGAGACACGGUCCAGACUCCUACGGGAGGCAGCAGUGGGGAAUAUUGCACAAUGGGCGCAAGCCUGAUGCAGCCAUGCCGCGUGUAUGAAGAAGGCCUUCGGGUUGUAAAGUAC